rnacentral:lncRNA from 1 species
GUUUGGUUCAAGAGUGGAAUUGAAAUGGAUAAUAAAAUAUGAAUGAAUUGGAAUGGUAAUUGGAAUGGCCCACUCUCCCAAGACGUUUGGUUUAUUUAUGGAUUGAAAAUUUGAAUGAGUUAUUCACAUUUCAUUGUUUGGUUCGUAUAAAUUAAAAAAAUUAUAUGAUACUAUAAUACUAAUUUUACUCUCAAAUAUAAAUUUAUAUUAUUUAAAAUUUAUGAAAAAUAUAAUACUAUUCUCUAAUAAGUUUUUCAAAAAAAAUAUUAAAUUUAUUUUUAAAAACUUUUAUUGAUGUGGGUUAGGGAAAGGAUUUUGAGAGAAGAUGGUUUUUUUUUUUUUUGAUGAGAAAAGGGUGAAAAGAAGGAGGGUGAGAUGGUCACAUGGGCUUCGAGAAUUUACUAGGCUUCCGGAAUGAAAUCUCAAUCCGAGCUAGAAGACCGGAUCAAGUUGAAGGCUAAUGAGCCAUUCCCAUUCCAGUCCGGAAUAGAAAUUCCAAACCGAUUCAUGCGAACCAAACAAAAUUAACCGGAUUUGAUUAAACCGAUUCCCGUUCCAUACCCAAAAUGGAUGAACCAAACAAGCCCUGAGAGAUACCUUUCUUUAUUCUUGAACGCGUGCUUCCUACAUGGACGGACAUUUGGACUCCUAAUUUACGAACUAUUUUAUGGAUCGUCUAUAGGCCCACUAUAUAAUUUAGGAACUAUUUCAUUACAUGCAGUUUAAUAUAUCAAGACAAGCCGCGAAUAGUAUUUGGACAAUAAUUUUAAAUGCUAACUUAUCCAAUUCUCCAUUUAUAUAUA